rnacentral:rRNA from 1 species
GACGAACGCUGGCGGCGUGCCUAAUACAUGCAAGUCGAACGCAGUGGGGACUGGUGAGUAACCCGUGGGUAACCUCCCCUCAGAGGGGAUAACACUUUGAAACAGGUGCUAAACCGAUACUGCUGGAUGGACCCGCGGUGCAUUAGCUGGUGGGUGAGGUAACGGCUCACCAAGGCCACGAUGCAUAGCCGGCCUGAGGGGGUGAUAGGCAACACUGGAACUGAGAAACGGCCAAGACUCCAACGGAAGGAAGCAGGAGGGAAUUUUAGGAAAGGGACGAAAGUCUGACGGGGAAACGCCGCGUGAGGGAGAAAGGUUUUCGGAUCGUAAGACUCUGUGGUUAGAGAAGCGGUAUCUAACCAGAAAGCCACGGCUAACUACGUGCCAGCCGCCGCGGUAAUAC